GGAGCCAAUGCGAAGGCGGAGAGAGCUGAAGUAGGUAGCCGAAGCACAGAGAAAAGGAUGAAAAGAGUUUGCUCCCUAGAGGCCGUCUUGGGAAAUGCCCAGCCGGUCAUCUAGGUUUGGCCUUCAAGUUUGGCCAAAAGGAAAUGAUUGAUCUGAACGAGUUUUCAUUUUUAAAUGAAAAGUCUUUGGCAUUUAGGAGACAUACUAAUGAUAUUUGACCAGAAAUUAUCUUUCUGGCCUGGGUUAAAUAUAGUAAUACCCAGAGAACAGAGGAAGCCAGCAGGCACUGUAAAAGCAGAAGACAGAAGACACAAGGAAUUCCUGACCUGCAAUUAG
rnacentral:lncRNA from 1 species